AAUAAUAGAUUUGAAAUAUUUAUUAUAUAGAUUUAAAGGGAUAAUCAUGGAGUACAUAAGUUAUUAAUAGUUAUAGGUUACUAAUAAAAUAUAUAUAAUAUAUAUAUAUAUAUAUAUAUNAUUUUUAAUACCUAAGGGAAACCUAUUAUAUAUUAACNUAAGUGAACUGAAACAUCUAAGUAACUUAAGGAAAAUAAAUCAACCGAGAUAUCAUAAGUAUUGGUGAGAGAAAAUGAUAUAGUCAAUAAUUAAUAAAUAAUUAAUUAAAAUAAGUAUUAUGUAAGAUAAUAUGUAAGAAUAUAGGACAAACUAGUUCUAAGACUAAAUACUAUUAAUAAACAAAAUAAGUACCGUAAGGGAAAGUAUAAAAAUGGUUAUUCUAUAAGCAGUUAUAAAUAUAAUUAUUAUAUUAAUAACGUACCUUUUGUAUAAUGGGUCAGCAAGUAAUUAAUAUUAGCAAAAUAUUUUUAAUAUUAUAAAUAAAUUGAAUAUUUAAUAAUUGUAUAACCCCCUUAACCUAUCGUAAGAUAUAUUAAAGGGGAUUAAGUUAAUAUUAAUUGACCCGAAAGCAAAUGAUCUUAUUAUGACAAGACGGAUAUAUUAUAAAUAAUAAUAAAACGGUCGAACAGGUUGAUGUUGCAAAAUCAUCUGAUUAGUUGUGAUAAGUAGUGAAAGACAAAUCUGAUUUGCAGAUAGCUGGUUUUCCACGAAAUAUAUGUAAGUAUAGCCUCUUAUUAAAUAUAUAAUUAUUAUAUUAUAAAGUAAUAUAAUGAACGGUACAGCUACAAAUAUCCUUUUAUUUUUCUUUUUAAAUUCGUUUAUAGAGAAAAAUAAUAUUUGGGGAAUUAUUGUAAUUUUAUCAAAGAUAUUUGAUCUCGAAAUGUUUAAUUAUAUUAUAAGAGAGUCAGACUAUGCGCGAUAAGGUGAAUAGUCUAAAGGGAAACAGCCCAGAUUAAAAUAUAAGGUUCCUAAUUUAAUAAUAAGUGAAAUAAAUAUUAAAAUAUUAUAAUACAAUUAGUUGAUGGGUUUGACAAUAACCAUUCUUUAAUGAACAUGUAACAAUGCACUAAUUUAUAAUUCUUCGGAAUAUCUUUCCCCCCCUUCCUUUUUAAGGGGGGGAAUAUUAAUAUUUCAAAUCAAAUAUAUAUCUAAUAUAUAUUUGUUAAUAGACAAUAUACGGAUCUUAUAUAUAUUAUUAUAAAUUAUAUAUAUAAUUUAUAAUAAUAAUAAUUAUUAAACCGAAUAUCUAAAUAUUAUUAUAUAUAAUAAAAUAUAAUAAUAUGGUAGUGGAACAUCUAAUGAAAAAAUAUAUUAGUCAUUGAUUAAUAUAAUAUAUAUAUAAAGUAUAUAUAAUAAUUAGAUAGAGAAUGCUGACAUGAGUAACGAAAAAAAGGUAUAAACCUUUUCACCUAAAACAUAAGGUUUUACUAUAAAAGUACGGCCCUUAAGUUAAAUAUGAAUAUAAAUAUAUAAAUGAUAGGAUAAAUCUAAAUUAAAAUAAAAAACUUUAUUAUUAAUUAAUAAUAAAUUAAUAAACUAAUAGAGUUCAAGAAAUAUUUUUAAUGGAUACCGUAAUGUAUACCGACUCUGGUAUGUUAGUAGAGAAUAUGAAGGUGAAUUAGAUAAUUAAAGGGAAGGAACUCGGCAAAAAUAGCUCUAACGUUAGUCAAUAAAGAGAACCCCCCGAAUAUAUUAAAUAUAUGAGGGGGGUAUUAAGAACAAAGUUGUCCAACUGUUUACUAAAAACACCGCACUUUGCAGAAACGAUAAGUUAAAGUAUAAGGUGUGAACUCUGCUCCAUGCUUAAUAUAUAAAUUAUAUUAUUUAAAGAUAAUAUAAUUAAAGUUAGGUAAAUAGCAGCCUUAUUUUGAGGGUUCUAAGGUAGCGAAAUUCAUUGUCCACUAAUUAUGGUCCUGCAUGAAUGACGUAAUGAUACAACAACUGUCUCCCCUUUAAGCUAAGUGAAAUUGAAAUCGCAGUGAAGAUGCUGUGUACCUAUAGUGUGACGGAAAGACCCUAUGCAGCUUUACUGUAAUUAGAUAGAUCGAAUUAUUAUAUAUCAUAUUCAGAAUAUUAAGUAAUUGUUUAAAUUCAUAUGAGAUACUUAUUUUGAUAUUAUAAUUUUUCUAAUCCUAUAUUUUAUUUAAUAGAUUUAUUCUUAAAUUAUUCUUAUAUAUGAUCCUCCUCUUAUUUCAUCCCUUCCUUUUUGGAAAGAGUGUAAUAAAGGGGAAAGAUUAAUAUAAGAAUAGGAGACAAUCUCUAAUUGGUAGUUUUGAUGGGGCGUCAUUUUCAGCAAAAGUAUCUGAAUAAGUCCAUAUACAUAUUAUAAUCUUAUUUUUAUAUAAAGUAUAUAUUAUAUAUAUUAAUUGUAAAUUAGCCCGCCCCCCCCCUCACCCGUUAUUCGGGUGGGGGGGGAAGGGAGGGAAAUAAUAGAAUAAAUUAUGUACAGUAAAAUUGUCUGGAAAACAAUAAUAAAAUAUAUAUUAUACAAUAUAUAUUUUUAAUAAAAUGUAUUAAAUUAAUAUAAUGGUUUAACUGUGCAACAAUUGUAACACAAACAAGUGAAACAAGUACGUAAGUAUGGCAUAAUGAACAAAUAACACUGAUUGUAAUGGUUAUUGAUAACGAAUAAAAGUUACGCUAGGGAUAAAUAUUUGUCCCAUUAUAUUGAAAAAUAUAAUUAUCCCCCCUCUAAUGUAUUUAAGGGAGGGGAGGAAAUUGGGUGAAUUGCAAGAAUAUCCAACCCCCCCGGGAUCCACACAUGUGUGGACCCCGGGGGGGAAUAUUAUUAAUUUAAUAUGGACAAUUUGCAGCGAAGCUUAUAACAAUCUUCAUAUAUAUAUAUGGUUAUAAGAACGUUCAACGACUAGAUAAUGAGUAAGAUUAACAAUAAUUUAUCCACGAGUGCCCAAUAUCAAAUAUAAAUAUUCAAUAAAAAUAAAUAAAUAAAUGAUGACUAUGAAAUAUUCUUUAUUUAUUUUAUUUCAACUUUAUUUUUUUAAGGAGGAAGUAUUAUUUAUUUUUAGUUAUUUUAUAAAAAUAUUUGAUAAUGACAUAGUCUGAACAAUAUAGUAAUAUAUUGAAGUAAUAAUUAAAAAAGUUACGAUAACAAAAUUGAACAGGGUAAUAUAGCGAAAGAGUAGAUAUUGUAAGCUAUGUUUGCCACCUCGAUGUCGACUCUACCUAUCCUCUUGGUUGUAAGUGCUAAGAAGGGUUUGACUGUUCGUCAAUUAAAAGGUAACGUGAGUUGGGUUAAAUACGAUGUAAAUCAGUAUGGUUCCUAUCUACUAUAGGUAAUAUUAUCAACUUAAGUCUCAUUCUUAGUACGCAAGGAUCAGAAUGAAUUAACCUAUGGUGCAUCUAUUGAUUAUUAUAUAAUAUAUAUAUAUUUUUAUAUAUAUUAUCUAUAUUAGUUUAUAUUUUAAUAAUAGUCAUAGUAGAUAAGCUAAGUUAAUAAAAAAUAAGUAUUGAAUGCAUAUCAAAUACGAAGUUGUCUUAAUAUGAGAUAAUUUACUGAUUAUUUUAUACUAAAAUAUAUAUAGGUUUUAUUUUUAUAAAUAUACUUCAUUAUUUUAUAAGUUAUUAACUUAUUUAUAUUAAUGAAUACAAUGAAAUGUAAAAUACUAAUUUAUCAGUUAUCUAUAUAAUAUCUAAUCUAUUAUU
rnacentral:rRNA from 2 species